CAUGUGAACAUCGCGUCUUCGAAAUAUUUGUACACGUUUUUAUACAUGAAAAAAUUUCUCAAUUUUGAUUGGGUAAGAGCAGUGGAUUUUUUUUCGAAAUACAUAGUGCCAAAAAGUGAAAUACAGUACAAAUUUCUUAGUUUUCUUAAAUUUUUGUUUUUCAAAUUUCUUAGUUUUCUCAAUUUGUAAAUGUGACUUUCGCAGGUGACUGCAUAAUUUUUUCAUGUAUAUUAUUAAUAAGUAAUUGUAUAGUUUCUCGUGCAAUUUGAAAAAACAUACACUUGUGAGUUUUUCAAAGACUUCAAAUUGCACUCGUCCAAUCAGCUUGAAGCAGUCGUUAAGUAAUGGUCACAGAUUGCUUCAAAACAAAACAAACAUGCAUGUAUGGAAGCCGCGCUACAUAAGUAAAAGUUGAGUUCGAGUUCUUCUCUUUUUAAAAUGGAAAAGACUUUACCUUAAACAAGACUAGCAGAACUUAUAUAUUUGAGUGAAAUUUUCAAGCCGUUAAAGUUGUAUAAUGUGAUAUAAUAAUAUACAUAAAGAUAUUACUCGACUGUGAUUGGUUGAUUUCAGUGCAGUUAAUCCCAAACAGCAGUGCAAUUUUUUGUAAUCACAGUGCAAUUUUCUGUAAUCACAGUGCAAAAAUGUGUAACAAACUGAUCUGAUUGGUGAAAA